AUGGCUUGGGAACAAGUGUGUGCGCCCAAAUGGGCAGGCGGCCUCGGCAUUCCGAAUCUACGGUGGCUCAAUCGUGCUUUGCUAGCUCGGUGGCUUUGGUUGCAAAAAAUGGACCAACAAUAACCAUGGAGGGAAUUCAACUUACCCACCUCCGACGAGGCGAAAGCCAUAUAUCAGGCUGCUACGUUCGUGGAUGUUGGCAAGGGCGAGGAGGCCCUGUUUUGGGAGGAUCGUUGGAUUGAUGGAUAUAGAGUCGAGGAUCUCGCACCGGUCGUCUAUGACAUGGUAGCACCGAGAAUCAGAAACACACGGACGGUGGAGCGAGCCAUGCAUGGG
rnacentral:rRNA from 1 species